CUCCAGGGGACCCCGUUUACACAGAACACAUUGUGAACGGCAGAAGUCGGUGACCUGCCUCCAUAGAUAGCAAGAAGAGACCCCAGAGAGCUAGCUUGCCAUUUGUGCAGUUUGAGGACACAAAUGAGAAGAUGGCUGUCCAUGAGGAAGCAUAUCCUGAAUCUGCCAGCAUACGGAUUUUGGACUUCCCAGCCCCUGAAACUCUUCAGAUCAGAUCAGAUCAGAUCAGUCGCUCAGUCGUGUCCGACUCUUUGCGACCCCAUGAAUCGCAGCAUGCCAGGCCUCCCUGUCCAUCACCAACUCCCGGAGUUCACUUAGACUCAC
ensembl:lncRNA